UAUCGUAUGGUCUAGUGGUUAGGGCGGCCGGUCAUCAGCCGGAAAACCCAGGUUCGAUUCCUGGUGCGGUAG
rfam:Glossina austeni unplaced genomic scaffold Scaffold249, whole genome shotgun sequence.